rnacentral:ncRNA from 1 species
GGGGUGUGAAGCUUUGAAUCCAAGCCCCAGUAAACGGCGGUGGUAACUAUAACCAUCCUAAGGUAGCGAAAUUCCUUGUCGGGUAAGUUCCGACCUGCACGAAUGGCGUAACGACUUCUCUACUGUCUCAACCAUGAACUCGGCGAAAUUGCACUACGAGUAAAGAUGCUCGUUACGCGCAGCAGGACGGAAAGACCCCGGGACCUUUACUAUAGCUUGGUAUUGGCGCUCGCUUCAGCUUGUGUAGGAUAGGUGGGAGACUGUGAAGCAUUAACGCUAGUUAGUGUGGAGUCGUUGUUGAAAUACCACUCUGGUUGAAGCGGUCGUCUAACCUCGGUCCGUGAUCCGGACCAGGGACAGUGCCUGGUGGGUAGUUUAACUGGGGCGGUUGCCUCCCAAAAAGUAACGGAGGCGCUCAAAGGUUCCCUCAGUCUGGUUGGUAACCAGGCAGCGAGUGUAAGUGCACAAGGGAGCUUGACUGUGAGACUGACAGGUCAAGCAGGUACGAAAGUAGGAACUAGUGAUCCGGCACCACCUUGUGGAAGGGGUGUCGCUCAACGGAUAAAAGGUACCCCGGGGAUAACAGGCUGAUCUUGCCCAAGAGUCCAUAUCGACGGCAUGGUUUGGCACCUCGAUGUCGGCUCGUCGCAUCCUGGGGCUGGAGUAGGUCCCAAGGGUUGGGCUGUUCGCCCAUUAAAGCGGUACGCGAGCUGGGUUCAGAACGUCGUGAGACAGUUCGGUCCCUAUCCGCUGCGCGCGUAGGAAACUUGAGAAGGCCUGUCCCUAGUACGAGAGGACCGGGACGGACGAACCUCUGGUGUGCCAGUUGUACCGCCAGGUGCAGGGCUGGUUAGCUACGUUCGGAAAGGAUAACCGCUGAAAGCAUCUAAGCGGGAAGCCUGCUUCAAGAUGAGGUUUCCAACCACACUCGUGUGGGAGAGGUCCCCCAAAGACCAUGGGGUUGAUAGGCCAGACGUGGAAGCACGGUAACGUGUGGAGCUGACUGGUACUAAUAGACCAACAACUACAAACCA